rnacentral:rRNA from 1 species
GAUGAACGCUGGCGGCGUGCUUAACACAUGCAAGUCGAACGAGAAGUGGAGACGGAAACCUUCGGGCGGAAGACUUUAUUUCGAGUGGCGGACGGGUGAGUAACGCGUGGGUAACCUGCCUCAUACAGGGGGAUAACAGUUGUAAACGACUGUUAAUACCGCAUAAGACCACAGCACCGCAUGGUGCGGGGGUAAAAACUCCGGUGGUAUGAGAUGGACCCGCGUUCGAUUAGCCAGUUGGCGGGGUAACGGCCCACCAAAGCGACGAUCGAUAGCCGAUCUGAGAGGAUGACCGGCCACAUUGGGACUGAGACACGGCCCAAACUCCUACGGGAGGGAGCAGUGGGGAAUAUUGCACAAUGGGGGAAACCCUGAUGCAGCGACGCCGCGUGAGUGAAGAAGUAUUUCGGGAUGUAAAGCUCUAUCAGCAGGGAAGAAAAUGACGGUACCUGAGUAAGAAGCCCCGGCUAACUACGUG